UACGUAGGGGCAAGCGUUAUCCGGAUUUACUGGGCGUAAAGGGAGCGCAGACGGAACUGCAAGUCUGAUGUGAAAGCCCGGGGCUCAACCGCGGGACUGCAUCGGAUACUGUAGAUCUGGAGUGCCGGAGGGGCAAGCGGAAUUCCUGGUGUAGCAGUGAAAUGCGUAGAUAUCAGGAGGAACACCGGCGGCGAAGGCGGCUUGCUGGACGGCAACUGACGUUGAGGCUCGAAAGCGUGGGGAGAAAACAGGAUUAGAUACCCU
rnacentral:rRNA from 1 species